GGUGGACCCGGAAAACAAAAUCCUCAUUCAGAAAUACGAACUGGUUAGAAACCGUCCUUGCUUCCUCCCUUCAAUCGCUUUUCCAAGGGAGAAGAGACAGCCCUGAUUCUGACAUGAUCGAAAGCCCUCAGCCAUGGCUCUGCCUUCCUUGGGGGAGUGACUGGUCCCACUGAGCAGUUCAGUUUCAGAGCUCAUUCAGGCAGACCCCGUGGCCUCGGGGAUGGUCUGAGGACGUUAGAAACGGAAACCCGGGUCUUUGUACUUACUUGUUCGACUGUGACUGUGACACUCUUGGCUUUUGAUGCCACUUGUUUUCAAGCAGUUGGAAUCAGCAUCUGAAAGAGAAGGACAGAGGCAGCGCUGAGCCCUUGGAUCACACCCAGGAGCAGAUGCUCAGUGACCGACCCUCUGAGAGCACUCAGCCCAGAUUUGAAAAAUCAGAAAGCGGAUGGAGAGAUGGUGAUGCCAGUAUUUCCAACCCCAGCCAAUGACAUAAAGAAGACCCUUCUGCUUCUUGGAAGAAAAGAAUUCAGGGAAGAUAAAGGAUGAAUUUGUACAUCCGCACGUCUAUCACCUUUAAGCAAAUGUAUUUUAAAAUGCCUAGAGUUUUCCUUAAUGAAACUAUCCUCCUAAAACAUCAGCUGAACUUGGUGGGUAACAGCUCUGUGGUCCUCCUGCUGUGUCUCUCCGGUUGAGGCUGGCCAGCAUCCUGUGUCCAAAGGCCACUAUUAAGUAGCAGGCUGUGCCAGCUCCUUUGAAGUCAGAAGUGGGUCAGGACACCUUGAGGGCCAGGUGCAAAGGGAGGGACAGUUGGGGAGCUAGAGAGAGUUUUGGCAAUCGUGGGGGAACUCUCAGGGUGGUAACAUAUCCUGGGAGGUGUUUAAAUUCUGAAGGACUUGAGCUCUUAGGGCUGGGCUGGUGUUCUCCAGGGCUCACAGCAUCGGUAGGUGACAUCCAUGCCUGAAGUGGCCCCCGUGGGGACACUGGGAACUGGAAAGGGGACCGUUGCUAUUCAGCUCCCCUUGCAGGGUGACUUUGUUCUCAGGGAAGGGGGGUUUUCCUCGGCUAGCUGAGGGACACCAGAACAAAGCCAGCCGAGGGCUUGGUGAGAGGGAGGCAGACAGUCUGCCUCAGAGGAGGCCUGAGCCAGGCAACUCCAGCCCAUAAUUAGCAUGAUUUAUUAGCAUAGGGAGUUGGGAAAGUGUUUUGCCCCAGGCGGCCCUGAAGAGCCGGUGGUGGGUGAACUGGGCAGCGAGGAGGGGCACCAUCAAUUGUAGCUUUGUCACUGAAAGAAGGACUUUACAAGGUAAAACUCGCCCUGAUAAACUGCUUCCAGAUUUCCUUAUGAUGCCAGGCUAGACCACUCCCAGAGCCCAGGCUAGCCCCAUCCAAUGGGCUGUCUUGGCUUCCCCAUCCCAACCUCUGGAAUGAUUCAGACCAUGAGAUGGGAAAAAGAAAGCCCAGGAGCAGUGUAGGAAACGGGUUGCAGGAAAGAGGAGGAGAGCCAGCUGGGAUCUGCCGAGGGCAAUGGGCUUGUCAGGGUGAAUUAGGGAGGUGCAGAGAGGGCCAAGCCUGGGGGGGUGUUGGGGCCACGCUACCCAGAGGUUCAGGUGUGUAGAGGAGGAAGCAGAGGCAAGGUCCCCCAGGAUAUGACUGCUGCCAUAGGGCGCCCCAGACUUCCAGAUGAUUUUGUGUUUGAUUAUAUGAUUUUGAUGUAGAAGUUUUGAGACUCUUAACCUUUGUAUCUGCUCUCAAACAUCUCUACCCAAGCACAUGAAUCUUGGUAAGAAAAGCCCAUGUGGGAUCCAAAUGCUUCUCUCCCUGAUUUUCUAGCUCAGUGACUUUACAUUUUUUUUAAAGUUCUUUCUUAAAAUAAAAUCUCACAUUUGAUUAUGAUAGCUAA